ACUUUGCUAUCAGUGCAGCUGCUUGGGUACUACGAGCGAGUGCUUAAAACUCAAAGAACUUGGCGGCUUGUUAACUACCUAGGGGAAUAUGCGCCUUAAUCCGAUGGUCCCCGUAGCAUCUUACUGGAUCUUGAAAAAGUGCAGUUGGUGUAUUGCCGUUGUCAGCUUGUUGUUCGAGCAAGGAAAAACAGGCUUAAUGGAUCUUGGUGAUUAUGUUCACGAGAACCCGUGAAUUCAGGUCGUAAUGCUGCCUACGGUCCAAGGGAGUGGGUAUUACAAUUUAUAUUUAAAAUUACGGAACUUUAUUUUGAAAUUUUAGAGUGGAAGGUGAACUUAGGAGUAAGGGAAGAUUAAUAUGCUAUCCUGAACGUGAAUCUAACUUGUGUACACAUCGC
rnacentral:rRNA from 1 species